GGACCUCCUAAAGCUCAACCUACUCCCUGCCACCGAAAGGUGGUAGCAUAGUUAAAAUGGUUGGGAUGUUACAAUGGACGAUCCGCAGCGAAGACCCUAAAGCGUCAGCCACGGGUAACGUUCACAGACUAAGUGAUUGUGGGUAGGCUUCUACUUAAGAUAUAGUCGAGCCCUAGCCGAAAGGUUGGGGGUAAAGGUCCGUAGGUGAACCUGCGGAAGGAUCAUUA
rnacentral:rRNA from 1 species